AGAGUUUGAUCAUGGUUCAGAUUGAACGCUGGCGGCAUGCCUUACACAUGCAAGUCGAACGGCAGCACGGGUGCUUGCACCUGGUGGCGAGUGGCGAACGGGUGAGUAAUACAUCGGAACAUGUCCUGUAGUGGGGGAUAGCCCGGCGAAAGCCGGAUUAAUACCGCAUACGAUCUACGGAUGAAAGCGGGGGACCUUCGGGCCUCGCGCUAUAGGGUUGGCCGAUGGCUGAUUAGCUAGUUGGUGGGGUAAAGGCCUACCAAGGCGACGAUCAGUAGCUGGUCUGAGAGGACGACCAGCCACACUGGGACUGAGACACGGCCCAGACUCCUACGGGAGGCAGCAGUGGGGAAUUUUGGACAAUGGGCGAAAGCCUGAUCCAGCAAUGCCGCGUGUGUGAAGAAGGCCUUCGGGUUGUAAAGCACUUUUGUCCGGAAAGAAAUCCUUGGCUCUAAUACAGUCGGGGGAUGACGGUACCGGAAGAAUAAGCACCGGCUAACUACGUGCCAGCAGCCGCGGUAAUACGUAGGGUGCGAGCGUUAAUCGGAAUUACUGGGCGUAAAGCGUGCGCAGGCGGUAGGCUAAGACCGAUGUGAAAUCCCCGGGCUCAACCUGGGAACUGCAUUGGUGACUGGCAGGCUAGAGUAUGGCAGAGGGGGGUAGAAUUCCACGUGUAGCAGUGAAAUGCGUAGAGAUGUGGAGGAAUACCGAUGGCGAAGGCAGCCCCCUGGGCCAAUACUGACGCUCAUGCACGAAAGCGUGGGGAGCAAACAGGAUUAGAUACCCUGGUAGUCCACGCCCUAAACGAUGUCAACUAGUUGUUGGGGAUCAUUUCCUUAGUAACGUAGCUAACGCGUGAAGUUGACCGCUGGGGAGUACGGUCGCAGAUUAAACUCAAGGAUGACGGGGACCGCACAGCGGAGAUGAUGUGAAUAAUCGUGCACGCGAAAACUACCUACCUUGACUGGUCGAUCCCCUGAAGUGGGAUGCUCAAAAAACCGCCCAGGUCUGCUGCUGCUCACUCGGCUGAAUGUGGUAAUCCCACAGCCACCUGCCUAUUGUCCAGACCUUAGGANGCGNANACGAGAGGGGAACCAGC
rnacentral:rRNA from 1 species